UACGUAGGUGGCGAGCGUUUGUCCGGAUUUAUUGGGCGUAAAGCGCGCGCAGGUGGUGCGGUAAGUCUGUCGUGAAAAUCUCCUGGCUCAACUGGGAGGGUGCGGUGGAGACUGCCGGACUGGAGGCACUCAGAGGCCGGUGGAAUUCCCGGUGUAGUGGUGAAAUGCGUAGAGAUCGGGAGGAACACCAGUGGCGAAGGCGGCUUCCUGGACCUGUUCUGACACUGAGGAGCGAAAGCGUGGGGAGCGAUCCGG
rnacentral:rRNA from 1 species